rnacentral:lncRNA from 1 species
UUUUUGGAAGAUUAGAACAUACAUUUUGGGCAUUAUUGUCUAAAAGAAGUGGAUUUGGGAGGCAUCUUUUUUCCUUUGCUGUAUGUUAUGGAACAUGUAGGAAUAAUUUUUCAUUUUGGGCGUUACUGUCUAGAGGAAGUGGAUUUGGAGGCAUCUUUUUACCUUUGAUGUAUGUUAUGGAACAUGUAGGAAUAAUUUUUCAUUUUGGGCAUUACUGUCUAAAAGAAGUGGAUUUGGAGGCAUCUUUUUACCUUUGAUGUAUGUUAUGGAACAUGUAGGAAUAAUUUCUCAUUUUGGGCAGACAGCGAAUCUGCAGUAUUUAUAUGCCAAUCUUGAGCAUAAUGGCAUGGUGGGUUGCAUCUUUUAAGCUUUUACCUCUACAUUCUCUUUGGGAAGUCAUCUUAGGCCAGUUUAGCCUGCCAUAAGAAGC